rnacentral:rRNA from 1 species
UACGUAGGGGGGCAAGCGUUGUUCGGAAUUACUGGGCGUAAAGGGCGCGUAGGCGGCACGACAAGUCGGAAGUGAAAGCCCGGGGCUCAACCCCGGGAGGCGGGUGGAUACUGUCAAGCUCGAGUCCGGAAGAGGAGUGUGGAAUUCCUGGUGUAGCGGUGAAAUGCGCAGAUAUCAGGAGGAACACCAAUGGCGAAGGCAGCACUCUGGGACGUGACUGACGCUGAGGAGCGAAAGCUAGGGGAGCAAACGGG